rnacentral:rRNA from 1 species
UACGUAGGGGGCAAGCGUUGUCCGGAAUCAUUGGGCGUAAAGAGCGUGUAGGCGGCCAGAAAAGUCCGCUGUGAAAACUCGAGGCUCAACCUCGAGAUGUCGGUGGAAACUGCUUGGCUAGAGUCCGGAAGAGGAGUGUGGAAUUCCUGGUGUAGCGGUGAAAUGCGCAGAUAUCAGGAAGAACACCUAUGGCGAAGGCAGCACUCUGGGACGGUACUGACGCUGAGACGCGAAAGCGUGGGGAGCGAACAGG